rnacentral:tRNA from 1 species
GGUUUUUUAGUAUAAAAUAGUAUGUUUGAUUUCCAAUCAGAAGGUUUAAGAAACUA